GGUAGGGUAAUGGCCUACCAAGGCGACGAUGGUUAGCUGGUCUGAGAGGAUGAUCAGCCACACUGGAACUGAGAUACGGUCCAGACUCCUACGGGAGGCAGCAGUGAGGAAUCUUGCGCAAUGGGGGAAACCCUGACGCAGCAACGCCGCGUGAGUGAGGAAGGUCUUCGGAUCGUAAAGCUCUGUCAGUUGGAAAGAAAUGUCUGAGAGUCAAUCCCUUUCAGACUUGACGGUACCAACAGAGGAAGCACCGGCUAACUCCGUGCCAGCAGCCGCGGUAAUACGGGGGGUGCAAGCGUUGUUCGGAAUUAUUGGGCGUAAAGAGCGUGUAGGCGGCCGGAUAUGUCAGAUGUGAAAGCCCCGGGCUUAACCCGGGAAGUGCAUUUGAAACUGUCCGGCUCGAGUAGGGGAGAGGGAAGUGGAAUUCCUGGUGUAGAGGUGAAAUUCGUAGAUAUCAGGAGGAACACCGGUGGCGAAGGCGACUUCCUGGCCCUAUACUGACGCUGAGACGCGAGAGCGUGGGUAGCAAACAGGAUUAGAUACCCUGGUAGUCCACGCCGUAAACGAUGUUCACUAGGUGUUGGGGGUAUUGACCCCCUCAGUGCCGGAGCUAACGCA
rnacentral:rRNA from 1 species